UGUGGUUCUCCAUCUAGGAUGGGAGUUGGAGUUGGUGGUGUGGCCGAGUUUUCCCCUUGUCGUGCGUGCGGUCAAUCGCCGGCCCUCGGCUUUGCGGCUACGUCAAUAAGGUGCUGCAGUGGCGGCGGUUUGUGGAUAGUUAGACGGUUUUGCCAAGUCCGUGGAGGUGUGGGGAUGGGCGGGCGUGCGGAUGAAAAUCUUGCUUUGCUUUUGCUGGGUCGGCGGCAGCUGUCAUUCUCCUCCUUGGAGGUGUCGCUGAGGCGUGUUUGUCAUUUCCCUCGCUCUAUUGGAGUUGGUGAUUGUCUGCGGGCGAAAAACUUGAUUCGGAGUUGGACCGGCAUGAUAGCGGCGUCCUCGACGUCGUUCCUCUGUUGGGAACAUGGUUCUGGACCCUGCCUAGAUAUUGUCCUUCGGUGUUGCGCACGGUCCUUUCUUGAUCCUCGGCGACGUUGUGUACGCCCAUCACCGGUGUGUCCAAUACGGUGUCUUCCUCGGAUCGGAUCGAGUCCUGCCAUCUCUUACCUCUUUCUCUUAGGCAUUUAAAGUGGGUGGUGCAUCAGGAGAAGCCUUAUGGAAGGGUGGUCUUCAGAGGCAUCCGGUGUCGAUCGUGACACGGUGUUGUGUAUCAGCUUAGGAUAAGUGCUUUUGUUUGUAGCUGCUUUGCGAUGGCAACUAUAUUUGGUCUUACCGGGGUGUGGUGUGUGUACUACGUUCGUUGUUUGCAACAAGCGGUAGCUUCUUGUAAUUGACAUUAUGUCUUCUAUAAAGUUAUGGUACAUCUAAGCAUACUCGCGAGAAAAAAAGAAGUUAGCAAGUUUGAGAUUUCAUUUGUUGCAUACAUGUUGUAUUGCAAUAGCUUGUGUCAUCCCCUCUAUUCCUAAAUAUCUCUUUUUAGAGAAAUACAGACAACAUAUAAAUAUAAGUCUUUAUAGAGAUUUAAGAUUACUCCUUCUAUCUAGCAAAUCCAGCAAAAGUGUACAUAUAAGAAUUUUAAAACAAAUUAUGAGUAAAGUAAAAAAUACACGGGAAAGAUGCAAGCCACCAUCUCUCACCUUUUUAAUUUGCCAACCCUAAUAAGCUAACAACUUAUUUGGUUGGGGAUAUUAAAGGUAGAUGUAGAGAAUGAUUUGGCGCAUCGAUAAUUGAUUGAUCGUGCACUAGGCACAUAUAUAUAAGUACAAGGGAUGCGACCGAUAUCUUGUCUCCUAAGAUACACGUACAUACAGAGGGAGACAGACACAACGGGUACUGCAUACAAAACCCAGACCUACGUACAUGUACACAUGUNNNNNNNNNNNNNNNNNNNNNNNNNNNNNNNNNNNNNNNNNNNNNNNNNNNNNNNNNNNNNNNNNNNNNNNNNNNNNNNNNNNNNNNNNNNNNNNNNNNNNNNNNNNNNNNNNNNNNNNNNNNNNNNNNNNNNNNNNNNNNNNNNNNNNNNNNNNNNNNNNNNNNNNNNNNNNNNNNNNNNNNNNNNNNNNNNNNNNNNNNNNNNNNNNNNNNNNNNNNNNNNNNNNNNNNNNNNNNNNNNNNNNNNNNNNNNNNNNNNNNNNNNNNNNNNNNNNNNNNNNNNNNNNNNNNNNNNNNNNNNNNNNNCUUGACCGAAAGCCCUCGAAGGUCGAGGUGGGUAGUCCCUUCGUCAUCACAUCGGUGAACUGCUGAUCGGUGGGCACAUGUAGAACACGAACACGACCAAGUGCGACGUGCUCCCGGACAAAGUGGAUGUCGAGCUCAAUGUGCUUCAUCCGUCGGUGAUGGACAGGGUUGGCAGCAAGGUACACCAUGGAGACGUUAUCACAGUAGACGAGCGUCGCCUUGGUGACCUCACAUAGCAACUCCUGAAGUAGCUGUCGUAGCCAAGAGCACUCCGCGACGGCAUUGGCCAUAGCCUGAUACUCAGCCUCGGCGCUCGAUCGUGAGACUGUGGGUUGUCGUUUAGACGACCACAAAAUCAGAGAGGGCCCGAGGUAGAUGCAGUAGCCGGAAGUGGAGCGUCGAGUGUCGGGACACCCAACCCAGUCGGCGUCGGAGUAGGCGACAAGGCUGGUGUCAGGUGAUGCCGUCAGGGUGAGACCCAUGGCUGUGGUGCCAUGUAUGUACCGAAGUAUACGUUUCACGAGAGCCCAAUGGGUGCCACGAGGAGCAUGCAUGUGAAGGCACACCUGCUGGACAGCGUACUGAAUGUCCGGACGCGUCAGUGUGAGGUACUGAAGCACAUAGACGAUGGAGCAGUAGAAGGGAGCACCGAAUGUCGGAGAGCCCUCGACGGCGGACACCUUAGCCUUCAUGUCGACAGGCGUGGAAGCAGGCUUGCAGUUAAGCAUGCCUGCUCGCUCCAGAAGCUCGUAGGCGUACUUCUGCUGGUGCAGAAAGAAGCCAAUGGCCCGGCGCACGACCUCGAUGCUGAGGAAGUAGUGGAGAGCCCCCAAGUCCUUGAGGGCGAACUCGGUGCCGAGGCGAGCUGUGAUCUGCUGAAGGAGCGCUGGCGAGGAUGCAGUCAGGAUGAUGUCAUCGACGUACAAUAGGAGGUAUGCGGUGGCGGGGCCCUGGUGAUAGACAAACAGGAAGGCAUCGGAUCGUGUGGACCGGAACCCCUGCUGCUGAAGGAAGGCCGCGAUCCGCUGGUACCAGGCCCGAGGUGCCUGCUUCAACCCGUAGAGAGAACGGGAGAGCAAGCACACGUGGUCCGGAUAGUCGGUGUCGACGAAACCAGUAGGCUGCUGACAGAACACCUGCUCGUCGAGAUGGCCAUGCAAGAAAGCAUUAGACACAUCGAGCUGGUGGACUGGCUAGGCGCGAGAAACAGCAAGCUGGAGAACAGCGUGAAUCAUGCCCGGUUUGACAACCGGGGCGAAGGUGUCGGUGAAGUCCAUGCCGGCAUGCUGGCGGAAGCCGCACACCAUCCAGCGUGCCUUGUAGCGCUCGAGAGAACCGUUGGGGCGAGUCUUGUGGCGGAAGACCCACUUGCCAGUGAUGACAUUGGCACGGGAAGGCCGCGGAACAAGCUGCCACAUGCAGUUAUGCUGUAUGGCAUCGAACUCCUCACGCAUCACAGAUAGCCAGUUCGGAUCCCGAAGGGCCAUGCAAGCGAAGGUGGGGAGCGGGGACGGCGCCGAGGUAGAUGUCGCGCACGCAUACACAUCCGACGGGUGGCGCGUGCUCGGACAUAGUGUCCCAGUCCGAGCCCGAGUGACCACACCGGUGAGAGGUGCGGCUGAGGCAGGGGCCGCCGGCGCGGGGAGCGCGGGCAGGGCCGACUCUGGGGCGCGACUGGGCGGUCCGCCAGAGGUGGAGGCAGGGGCGAACCGCGCCACGGGAGACUCUGAAGGUGACGGUACCUGCUGAAACGGGAACACGAGCUCAUCAAAGUACACAUGCCGCGAAGUGAAAACGCGGUGGGAUACUGGAUCAUAGCACCGGUAACCUUUGGUGUUGGGAGGAUAACCAAGAAAAAUGCAAGGAAGCGACUAGGGAGCGAGUUUGUGAGGGGCGGUGGACGCGGUGCUAGGAUAAUAGAGACACCCGAAAAUGCGAAGACCAUCAUAAGAUGGAGCCGUACCGAAGAGGAGCUGGUGAGGGGUGUAGUUCCAUCGGGAAUGACAGGGGCGAAUGUUAAUAAGGAGGCUGGCGGUCGCGAGCGCGUCCGGCCAGAACCGAGGGGGCACGUAGGAGUGGAAGAGCAACGUGCGGACACAGUCAUUAAGAGUGUGAAGGAUGCGCUCGGCGCGACCAUUCUGCUGAGACGUGUAGGGGCAGGUGAGACGAAAGAUGGUGCCGUGUGACGCAAGUAAAUUGCGGACGGCGACGUUGUCAAACUCCUUGCCGUUGUCAGUUUGCAAGGUGAGAAUAGGACGACCGAACUGUGUGGUGACAUAUGAAUAAAAGGUUGUGGGUGUGGUAAGAGCGUCGGACUUGCGACGGAGAGGGAAUGUCUGCACAUAAUGAGAAAAUUCAUCCAAUAUCACCAGAUAGUAUAAAAAGCCCGUGUUGCUAGCAACCGAGGACGUCCAAACAUCAGUAUGCAAUAACUGAAACGGAAAGGUGGAAAUGUUUGUAGACUCACUAAAGGGAAGACGAACGUGCUUGCCAAGAUGGCAAGCCUCACAAGUGUGAUCGUCAACCUUAUUACAUGAGAAAGAAAAACUCUGAAGAAUCUGAUGCAUAACAGUGGAGUUGGGAUGACCGAGACGGGCAUGCCAAAGAUCGACACUGGCGGCGAAGGCGACGGGACGAUGGGUGGUGGUGGCACCGGAGGGAUGCACUGGGUAAAGCUCGUCUGGGCUGUCACAUCGGUGGAGUACCAUCCGUGUACGGCCGUCCUUCACAGAAAAACCGAUAUCAUCAAAUUCAACAGUGAUAGGAUUCUCACGAGCAAGGCGACGAACAGAAACGAGAUUAGUGACUAAGUCAGGAGACACAAGAACAUUAGACAUAUGCACAGGAGUAGAAGUAGAAGGAAAAGACAUAUGACCGACAUGUGUAAUGGUAGGAAGAAACCGUUACCAACGGUGAUACGGGUGGGAGUAUGAACGGGAGUGGCAGUCGUGAGGUUACCGGGAUGAGCAGUCAUGUGAGCAGUGGCACCCGAGUCCAUGUACCAGUCACCACCGCCACCAUAGGAGCUCGGUGACGGGGCGGAGUGCAGUGCAACGAGCAGGGCCGGGUCCCAUGGCGGCGGCACCUGAGGAGGGUAGAAACCUCUGUAGGCCGGCGCGGGAGCGGCACCGAAGGCCGAAGCGGCGGCGGCGCCGAAGGCGGGCGCGGACCCAUAGGCCGGCGCAGCUGCAGCGUCGUAGGCCGGCGCGGACCCGUAGGUGGGAGCACGCAGGGGGGGCGGCACCGUAGCCGCUGUAGGGAGCGGCGUUCUGCAUGGCGAAGAGGGCUUGGUGGCCCGCCGGGCGAGGCCCAAGGAUGCCCGGAGCCGGAGCCGAGGGACCGACAUUGAGUACGCUUAGACGACGUCGGUCCACGGGUUGGUGUCGUACGUCCAUGGAGGAGUCGCCUGCUGCUGCUGAUGAGCCCCCUCCCCCCCGGCCCUGUUGCUGCUUGCGGCCGCCCUCGCGGCGAUUGCCGCGGCGGCUGCUAGCGCGGCGCAGGUGGGGCGGCCGGUGGAGGGGCGCCAAGUGAGGUGCCAGCGGCGAGGGCGUGAUGCUACACGCGCUUCUUGACCCCCUUCAUCCGGCGCUCCUCCAACCGCAAGUACGCCACGAACUUGGGGAAGGAGGGCUCCAGCAUCAAGGUGAGGUUGGAGGCGGCGUUGCCGAAGUUCUCGUUGAGGCCGGCGGUGAGAUUGCUGAGGAGGAGGUCAUCAUCCACCUUGGCUCCAAUGUUAGGGAGCUCAUCUGCCAACGUCUUCAGGCGGCGGCAGUAGUCAUCAAUGGAUUGUUCAUCCUGAUGACAGUCCAAAAAUUCCUGCUGCAAAAAAACGCGGCGCUGAAGCUUGUUGUCGGUGAAGAGGCCGUUCAGCUUGACCCACAUGGCGCGGGCGUCGUCGCCGGGCUCACGACCGUGUGGAACAAGUACUUGGAGAUGGUGGUGAAGAACCACCGGAUGAUCGUGGCGUCGAUCGCGAUCCACUCGACGUCGUCCACCAUGGCGCGGGAGUCCACGGUGCCAUCCACAUGAUCCACGAGAUUGUUCCCGCGGAAGAGCGGCGAGAAGUACGUCUUACGUCUUCCACACGAAGUACAUGGAGUUGGAGGCGUCGAGAACCACGAGGAUGUGUGCAUGGACGUUGAUGUCGCGGAUCUCAGCAGGGUCGAUGGCGAAGGGGUUGGAGUAGGUGGAGGCGUUGGACGACAUGGCUGCGAGGUCGUGGGGAGGGAGGCGACGCGGCUUUGGGGAGAAGCGGCGCUGCGGUAGAAGGCAGGCGGCACGGCGGGAGGGCGGUGCGGCAUGGAGGGGAGGGUGUGCAGGAAGGAGAAGGCGCGCGGGGGAGGAGGGGCGAUGGCGGCGACUAGGGUUAGCGGAAGCGGGAGGAUCGACUUGCGAUAGAUACCAUGUAGAGAAUGAUUUGAUCGUGCACUAGGCACAUAUAUAUAGGUACAAAGGGUGAGACUGAUAUUUUGUCUCCUAAAAUACACGUACAUACACAAAGAGACAGAUACUGUUGAGAGAAAAGUGAAUUCUCUAUCUCUUUCAUUAGAUGAUUGUAAGCAUUUAUACAAGAAGAAGGGAUGUGAUGAAGAGGCAUCCAUUCAUGAGAUGGCAGUUACAAGAGGAGAUUUACCCCAUAAUUAACACACGUUAAUUAAACUGAUACGACAUAUAAAAUCCAGACCUAUGUACAUGUACACAGGUUCAACAGCAGAGAAUAGAAAUUUAAGGGGUAUGUGAUAUAUUUGUUAUCUCUUCCCAGCCAUCAUCUGUUAAUUCACGUGGGAAAUUAUUUUCUUUCCGCAUUCUAGUCAAACACGUUGUAAGUCCACGUAAAAAUUAAAAAAUGAAAUAGACCAUAUGUAGCCAAACACAUCGUAAGUACAUGCAGAAAUUAAAAAAACAAUAUGUAGAAUAUUAUUGGUCUUGAUUACCAUGUGAUGAGAUAAAAAAGUUAUACCUGAAAGUAUAUUUAAAAUAUAAAAAUACACUCUUUUGUAGACAAAUAUAGAAAUGCACUCUUUUGUGAAUAAAUUUUGAAGGCAAAUGUAGAGCGUAUCAUGUUGCUCCGAUGUAGCUCAUCUGAAAUGUUGCAUGCGCAGGACACCCAAAAUGACCUACUUGCAGCAUCCAAAGCAAUAACUGUAUCCACGUAAACGCAUUCAGUGCCGUGCGGGAUCUAAAUCCUAAUCCUAAACAAUCAAAAGCAGGACUUGUAGCAUCCCAAGCAGGAUGUAUCCAUGCCAACACAUUAUCCGGGAUCAAAAUCAUAAUCCUAAACCAUCAAGAAGCAGGUGGCAUCACCCAGCAAAUCAAACUCCACACGCAGCAGUAAUCAACAUAUAAGAGCAUCCAGACAAUAAUGCUGAUGCCAGCAAAAGCAUAAAAUACUUGAUGGCCGAAUAUUAGCAGCAAAUAAAGCUCCAAAACAGAGUUCAUACGGUUCGGUAGAUCGGUCAUGAUAGCAGAACUCCUGGUACAACUAAAAGCAACGAUAACAGGCCUACUAAAGUGCAGGUUUCUGGAAUAAACGAGUUGACAGAUGAGAUGAAUGGCGCCGCCAUGCCAAGCAAGUACAUCCGCAGUCAGCCGCAGCCAAAGACACACAUAGCAAGCUACAGCACGCCAUCACCACCGCCAUCAGCCUACUUGGAUCGCUGCCUCAUCUUUCGGCGCUUCCUCUUCAGCCUCCUCAUGCGCUUCUUCUUCCACUGAAAGAGAUAAACCAAGUUAUAAAGGAUACAUCAUAACAUAAAUUAUUCAAUAGAGAACCGGCAGACAUAUAAGCACUUUAAGCUACCAGCAAAC
rnacentral:lncRNA from 1 species